CAGGACUUUGUUUACCAUGGCCUGGCUGUGCUCUUCUACCUCAGUGCAGGAGUGGAUUUGGCUUUUAUUACCAUGUUGAGGAAAGGGUCUGUGUUCAAACUCUAUCAGAUCAACAUUGCUGCUGUGGUUUUCGCCUUCUUGUCCGUCCUCCUCUACUUCAUCCACGCCAUCCUGUCCGCCAUUAGAUGGAAACAGUUCUAAAGGACGACAUCCCAUCGCAAAACCACCGUCUUAUCACAAAAUGAAUGCCAUUGUAUGAUUGACGUCACAUUAUUGUACUUUGGAAGGACAUUUAAUGAAGGUAAAACGGGAGAUUGAGCUCCAGAGACGGUAUUUAAAACAAUCACAGAAAUAAAUGAUGUUUUAUGUAACAUAAUUGGUACUACGCACAACAAAUAUUAUUUUUGAUAUUAAUGUAGUUCACUUUUUUGACGUAGUGUGGCACUCUUACCACACAAAUGUAACAACUACGCCCCUUACUGUUUCCUGGCAUCUUCUUUAAAACUGCCACUUUUUUUCAGCCUUUUUAUAGAUUUAGUCGUAAAAUGUUUUUUAUGUUCAGUUAGAAUUAAAUUCAGAAAUGUAGUAGAUAGAGUUAAAAAGUGACAUAUCUUCAUUUUUAUACAUUCAAUAAUAAAAACAAAAAAUAUACCAUAAACAUUGUGGUCUGGUUUUAUUUUCUCCAAUUUUCCUCAUAUAUUUCUCUCUCUCUCACACACACACAAACAUAUUUCUACCUACAAGACACUGGUGUUUGGUUACAUUCGGGAAAACAUGACAUGUGAGGUUUGACCAUGGUUUAAGAUUAACAUUGUAGUAACUUUGAGUUCAGCAUUUUUAGAGUUACAUAAUGUUUAUUUGAUACUUUAACAUAUUUUUACAUCAUUACAGACAACGUCAUUUUGACAUUUCCAUUUUUUUAAGAGUCCUUUGUGGAAAUAAUCCACGUUUUCCAAUCAGUAUAAAAAGACCAACAUCACUUUAAAGAGCCACAGAUCAUCAGACUCU